rnacentral:misc_RNA from 1 species
GGAAAGCAGAGUUCAGGUGAACAAGUGUUCCAGACCACGAAAGAGACAUCUGAAGAAGUGGCCGGAUCCGAGACAGGGCCAUGGUUCAAACCCAAGAAUGGAAGUGUGUUUCCAAGAAAAAAGAAGUUGGUGAAGAGCAUGAUGCUUGAUUCUAUUACUUCCGUUUUCAGCUCUGCUUCUGCUUCUUCCUCUGAUGCUCAGGACCUAAAAAAUGCUACCGGUCACAGAAACAAGGUUCAGUCGUCUAAAAUAUCGAAUACCGAUUGAUUCUCUCUUUUUUCUUGUUGUAUCUGCAGCUGCUGGAGUUUCCGUUUUUGUUUCAGUUGUUAUUGUUGCUGCUGUUGUUGUUAAUUACAAAUUAUAAGAUUAUGUUUUUGUCCUGACUGUAGUUUGUGUUCAUCUGGAAUGUAAAAUAGUUCUCCAGGC